rnacentral:rRNA from 1 species
GUGUACCGGAAGGUGCACCUGGAAAGUCAGGAUAGAGCUUGAUUAGUUAAGCAUUUCAUUUACACUGAAAAUACACUGUGCAAUUCAGUUUAUUCUGAAAAAUUUUAACUUACUGUAAUUAUUUGAUGAAGAGGUUAUUUUUAAUUAAAUUAUUUUUAAUAUUAGAAGUUUUUGUAUAGAAUAUAGAUAAAAUUAUUAGUGUGGUAGGUGAAUUGUAUCGUGAGAGGUUGUUUGAAAUAUUUUGAAAAUAUAUUUUAUUGAAAGUAGGAUAUUUUCCGUACCUUGGGUAUCAGGGUCUAUUAAAAAAAUUUAUAAUUAUUUAUAUUUUCCCGAUUUAAAGAGAGCUAAAUAAAUAUGUUAGUUAAUGUGGAAUAAUUAUUAAUAAUAUUUAUUUAGUAAUGAAACGUUAUCCGUUCUUUAAGAUAUCUGGUUUUCUAAGAAAUGAAUUUAAUUCAGGUUUUUAGUAGUAUUUAUUUAAUUUAUUAAAUUAUUUAUUACUAAAAUCUAAUAUUUUGGGGGAUAAGCUUCAAGAUAGGUUUUAUAAUUUUGUUAUUUUUAAAAAUUUUGUAGGCUUAGAAUUAGCCAUCUAUUAAAGGAUGUUAUAAUUUAAUUUUUUGAAAUAUUAAUUUUCUUAAAAUUUAAGUUUUAUAUUAGAAUGAUUUAUUUAAUUUUUAAAUAAAUGUAAUAAUGAUAAAAUUAGUAUAUAAAUUGUUUUUCUUAUUUUUUUGUGUUAGGUUACAUUAAGGAAUUAGGCAAAUUAAUACUCGCCUGUUUAACAAAAACAUGUCUUCUUGAAUAAAAUUUGAAGUCUGACCUGCCCACUGAAUUUUAUAUUUAAAGGGCCGCGGUAUUUUGACCGUGCAAAGGUAGCAUAAUCAUUAGUCUUUUAAUUGAAGGCUAGAAUGAAUGGUUGGACGAGGUAUUGACUGUCUCGGUGUGAUUGAUAUUAGAAUUUAACUUUUAAGUUAAAAGGCUUAAAUGUUUUAGAG